rnacentral:lncRNA from 1 species
AUUACUUUUCGACGGAUUGAAAUAAUAGUUGAUGGGGAUAUAUAAAUGAAAAUUGAAAUACGCGAGGGAGUAGAUUCUCUAUGGGGAAAAGAUUUAUCAACUCAUCCUCGAGAUUACACGAACGAAAAUCGUAAUACGAAUUGGAACAAAUUAUUCUAACUUCUCUUUUUCAUAUAAUAAUUCUUUUCGAGGUUAUACUUCUUUUUGGCGCGUUUGGAAAAAAUUGAUGAGAGCGAAUUGUUACGAUGCGCGCGCACAGAAAUUAACAGAAUGAAGUUAGCCGGUAUUUACGAUGCGCGCGCACAGCGGUAUGAAAUUAACAACAUGAAAUUAGUCAAUAGAUCUCCAUUAAAUUUAGUGCGGACUGAUAUCUGUAUUCAAGAUAUUUAUUUGUUUGUUUUCCAAACGGUAAUAUAACAGGGAAUAUUUCAAUUGAAAAUAAUGAUUUAAUUUUUGUCAUAACUUAUAUACUAUCUUUAAUAUACUCAAGCAAAGAAAAAAAAAAGAAGAAAAAUAAAAGGAUAAAAAGUGAUUAUUACAAAACGAUGAUAUGACAAAGAAGUUCAGUUUUAAUCUGUCUCUAAAUACCCGUUAAAGUACCUCGAGUCGAGUAUUUUAUUUGCUCUGAGUAGACAGAAAAGGAGAAAAAUAGAGCAAAACAUUAAAAAAAGAAACAAAAAGAUAAAGACAAAGAAUACGUAAAGAAGACAAUAGAAUGUGAAAGAUAGAACACGAAGAUGAAGAAAGAAAAAAAGAAAGAGAGAAUUGCUUGUUUCGCGCAUCCUCUUCCAGUUUAUUCCCUUUGACCACAGUUAACGACCUCAAGGGACGAUAAAGAAGAAGAAGAAGAAGAAGAGGAGAAGGAGGGCGAGGACGAGGACUGGAAAACAAGCAGUUGCCUUUCUCGUUUCUUCUAUUCCUCUGUUCAUUCUUCAACAUUCUUUACCGUAGAAGAAACUGGAUUAGAUAUGUGGAUAUAAACUCGAUUCUAUCUUCUCACAGAAACAGAAGGAAAGAAAGAGAGGGUGGUGGGAAAAGGUAGUAGGGAAAGUGGUAGAAGAGGUGGAAAAGAACAAAAAAUUUGUUUUUA